UUUCAAAAGCGCCAGACCAAAAUUUAAAGCUUGGUUAACGAGGCGGAGGGAUUAUCGAGUUUUUCGGCGGGAGCCCUCCCGGCGGCAGGCAUUGCCGUCGUAAGUCUGCAUACAAACCCGUGGGGAGACCUUCGGACAAAAUUGCAGGCAG
rnacentral:ncRNA from 1 species